GGAAAAUAUAGUCAAGAUCAUCUUUAGGACAAUAUUAUCAAACUUAACUGUCAGUCACUGGAAGCGUUUCCUUCAGUGACUGACAUCGACGUAAAUAAGAAUAAAGUGUCAUUAUUUACAAACUCAUGCAAAGUUGGGACUUUUAAUGCAGCUCUGCAUUAAAUGUGUCAUUUUUCAGCGAAUGACACUUCAUGACAAGUCAGACACUCAUAAAGACUCCUUCAUGUUAAAUAAAGUGUUACCGAAAUAUCCUCAAAAAAUAUCUUCACAUUCAGAAAAUACUCAAUUCUACUUUGAAAUACUCGAUUUGAUAUUUUUUUUUUCCUUACCAGAAUUGUGCAAUUUCUCUUAUAUUUGGAGCCACACUCACACACACACACACACACACACACUCACACACACACACACGCACACACACACAACGUUGGAAGCUGAAAUUCUCUAAUUUUGACAUGAUUUUCCUUUUCCAGUUAUUCCAGUUGGCAGACUCAGGAGGAUUUUUGCAAAUUAUUUUUGGAUUACACUCAGAAUACCAGCCCCCCGAAGACUAAAAUUUCCCCCCUGUGGUCUGAACUAAUAAACAUUGGCAGUGAUUUCUGAAUUUCAUUGCCAACAAACUCCAGAGAUAGAAACUUUUUGUGAGGAUUUUCAUAGGAGGACGAUGGAGGAGGGCAGAGAAACAACACCAACUGGUUGAUCAAUACAACAUUUACAAUUGUUCUGUUUUUGAAGAAUGAAUCGUACAGAUUUCUUAUUGAAUCUAAAACAAGUUUUUUUGUUGUUGUUUUUUUUUUCUCUCCAGCCAUAUAAUAGGUUGGAGUCACCGAUCAAGUAAAACUCACACAAAAGUAAAUGGACGAAAACACAAGAGGCAAGAAGUGACAGUGGAAAGGAAUGCAGUCGGUUCAGGUAAAGCGACGCCCUUCAUGCAUCCAUUAACAGGAAAUGCUGCACAGAAUCCCCGGAACUGCAGCGGCUUAGCACAGGACUGCACAGUCGCCAUCGCUAAUUCUUAGUCAACAACAGAGAGUCGAGAACAGAUUCCUCAUUUUCUCCGUUUGCUCUGAAUACGUUCAUCGGCGAGUUGAGAAACAGACAAACACAAAUUGGCUAACUGGACGUGUCGAGCUCAGCCAGAUUUCUGUUGACUUAGCCAGAACAUCCCUCGCUGGGAUGAAGAUUACGUUAUUGCUUCUGCAAUCCUUCCACUUGGCCAGUUGAGCCUAACAUCGCUGCCAAAAGUUGCCAGAUUGUUGUGCUGUCCCAAAUCUUAGAUAUAGAACGGCUUAGCUUUUAGCACUUGUGUGGGAAAGCUUUAAUGGGGAAAUAUGUUUACCUUAGAUGAGAUGGCAAAAAGCUACAAUGAAAACCUUUCACAAGCCCAUCUACCAGUAACACGUCUACACAAAAAAAAGAAAAAAAAAAAAAAAGAAAAGCAUACAGCACGGCUGGAUUACAAAGAAUCAAAUUACAUUUGACAAAAAAAAUAAUCUUAAAAGCUUUUAAGGUUAAAUAACCUUCCAAAUGUGCCUUAAAAUGUAUUUAUACACCUUUAACUUUCACAGAUUUCAGCUUAUUCUUUUAUGCAUGUUGUUUGUUUGUUGUUUUCUUUUUAAAUUCUCAACAAACCAACACAAAACGUGGUUUACCAACCACAGGCAGCAAAUUAGAAAAAAAAAAAAAAAAAAAAAAGUCAGUUUUUCUUGAUGUUUGUGCAAAAGAAAAACAAAAACUGUUUCUAAAUGGUGAUAUGUAUUUGUAUUUCGAUGCAAAUCUACUUUUAUGUCUCUGUCAGUUUUGUAUGCUUAGAUAUAUAUUAUUUUUUUUCUUUAAAUUUUGCCCGUUUGUUUUAGCAAAAUAGCUCAAACUCCCUAAGAUUAGAUGGGUGCCGUAAGCAAACAUGAAGAUUCUGCUUUCCCAGAAAUGUUCAAAAGGAUUUGGGAUCUGGACUUAGAUGAGCCCAUUCUAACAAAUACACUCUGAUCUAUUGACAGCUGCUGCCUUUCAGAGUAGACUCUCUGUCCAUGAAGAAGAGAAGCAUCCCCCGCAGCAUGAUGCUGCAACAACCAGGUUUUAUUGUAGAGAUUGUCCGCCAUCCCGAUUCUGGACACCGGACUUGAGCUGUCUGCAACAAAAUGGUUAGGAUGUUGCUUCACAAGGUCAACCUUGCUGUCAACAUCUCCGCAACUUUUCCCCCUCAAUUAUCUGCAGCAUUUUUUGGUUGUCAUGAUUCGUUUUUUUUUUUAUUUGCCAGUGUUCUCUGACAAGCCUUUGAUACCGGCGCAGAAUUUCUGCUGAGAACAAACAACACAAACGUACUUUAUUUACCAACUAACACAUUUCUGAAAAAAAAAAACCCCAAGGGUUUGAUUUAUUGUGUAUUAAAGUGAAGGAGCUAAAUUCACAUACAUGCUACGCUUUUCAGAUAAAAACAAAAACAAAAAGCCAGGCUUUCCCUUAUGUUCCGCAACUAUUUGCCAUUUGUCGUGAUCUUAGUAGAAUAAAUUAACAACAGCUCAAGGUAUAUAACAUUUAUGCAGGGCACUGUAUUUUUUAUUCCUAAAUACUGCAUUUUAAACAAUAAAUUGUAAUGUCCUGACACACAGUCAGUCAUGCAUCGAGUGUUUAAGGUUUGGCCAGUUACCCAAAGCCAGGGUGGUUAGCAGAAUUAGCAGCAGGACAUUUCCAUGCCCACGCGCCUCCUUCAUCAACCAGGCAGCAGCACAAGGAAGAAGAAGAAGAAGAAGAAAAAACAAGAAGAAGAA